AGGAGUAGGAGGAGGAGAAGAGGGUUCUCAGGGUUUAAAAGGAAGAUGCAGCGAUUCAUCUGUCCUUUCUAUCCUGCGGAUAUGUCUGCUGAAGGAUUCAGGGGGCUGGUGACCUUAACCCUUUGACAGGUCACCCAUGGAGUCCCAUUCUGUCUGCUUGCCUUGAAUCAUUGAGGAGGAGGAGGAGGAGGAGGAGAAGAAAUCCUGGGCUAGACUAAGGGCGGGUCGCGCCUCCCCCUCGACUGCCCCAUCAUGAGAACACUACACAUCGGGUGUGGCCUUCACUAGGGAGUUACGCAACAGUGGUGCUGCCUACCACAGGUACAAGGCCGAUGCGUCGUGUUCCCAUGCCGGGACAGCAGGGGGCGACGUGUGCAGAGCCAGUGCUGCAGAAAUGCAGUGACCUCGAAACACCUAACCGAAGCUCAGACUACAGAAGCACCACAAAAGCCAAAAACUACUUUCCACUUCCCUUUUUCCCUUUGGCUUCUGGUGGUCUGCGUGCUUGGUUAGGUGGGCUCGAGGGAGGGGCCUGCUGAUACACACAAUCCCAUAAUAAAUUCAUCUAAAAAGGCUAUACGCAACAUUUCCUGUAAAAACCCAUGAAACUGUGAAAAUAAAAACUGUAAACACAUGCAACUUC